rnacentral:rRNA from 1 species
AGCGAACGCUGGCGGCAGGCCUAACACAUGCAAGUCGAACGAAGUCUUCGGACUUAGUGGCGGACGGGUGAGUAACACGUGGGAACGUACCUUUUGGUUCGGAACAACUCAGGGAAACUUGAGCUAAUACCGGAUGAGCCCUUAGGGGGAAAGAUUUAUCGCCGAAAGAGCGGCCCGCGUUAGAUUAGCUAGUUGGUGAGGUAAAGGCUCACCAAGGCUACGAUCUAUAGCUGGUCUGAGAGGAUGAUCAGCCACACUGGGACUGAGACACGGCCCAGACUCCUACGGGAGGCAGCAGUGGGGAAUCUUGCGCAAUGGGCGAAAGCCUGACGCAGCCAUGCCGCGUGAAUGGUGAAGGUCUUAGGAUUGUAAAAUUCUUUUACCAGGGACGAUAAGGACGGUACCUGGAGAAAAAGCCCCGGCUAACUUCGUGCCAGCAGCCGCCGUAACAC